ACAACAAUCGCAUACAUCACGUGUUCCAUGUCAUAAAAUUUUUUGGAAAGUUUUUAUGAAGACGACCAUUUCUCGAAGUAAUAUACAGAAGCAGUUCUUGAAAAUAAAUUAAACUCUCUCAGCGGGAGGAUUGCGGUUCGCUGAAAGCUGUAUAAGGCAGAAGAACUUUCAUCCAUGGAAAAGAAAACAAGACCAACUUAUCACAAAAAUUACAAUAUAACAGUAAUUUUACUAUGGGACCUCAUAAAAUAUAAUUAAGGAUUACUGACCCCAAAAAUAAACAAAGGUCGUUGGCUGAAUUUAAAUAAAGGUUGUGGACUUGGCUAAAUGCAAACAAAAAGGUUAUAGAUCUCAUAAAAUGUACACAAAUGAUCAUUGACCCCAAAUAUAAACAAUGCUUGUUAACUUGGCUAAAUGUAAACAAUGGUUGUGGACUAGGAUAUAUGCGAACAAAAGGCUUACUGAUCUCAUAAAAUGUAAACAAGAGGAUCAAAAUGUAAAAAACGGGUCACUAACCCCAUACAAUUUAAGCAUACGUGUUAUUAACCCUAAAUAUAAACAAAGGUUCUUAGCAUGGAUAAAUGUAACAAAAAGUUGUGAACUUGGCUAAAUGUAAGCAAAAGGGUCAUCGAUCUCAUAAAUUUACCAUAUAUACAGCGCGUUCAAAAAAAUAAUGUUUUACCUUUGCGGGACAGUUCACGGAAAAAUGUUUUUAUUUUUUGCAAAUUAACACAUGUUCACACUCGAUCAUUGAUGCAUUAAUUGCCGAAUGGACUAUUAAAAAAGUGCAAAGUACCUAAAUAAAACAUUUGUAAAAAGGUGGCUCGAUAAAUAUGGAGAAACUGGAAAUGUCGAUGAUAAGCCAGAAAGAGUGAGGAAUGACGUGAUAUUUAAGCGUGAGGACAAAGCUAUUGUUCUUAUUUUUAAGGAGAAUGCACUACUCAGUCUAAGCCAGGCUUGAGCUGUUUUGUAGCAAAGGAGAUAAGUAGUAUGUACGAGUAUCUCAAUAUAAAAUACAGACUUCAGAGUAUCUGGCAUUAAACGAAGCAUAAGUUUAGUCGAACCCCUACUUUCGAUCAGAGGGACAAUUUAUGAUGACGGCUAUUGACCCGCAAAACUAUUUCGGUAUUGUUAUUAUACUAUGUGUCGGAUAAACUAUGAAGUAUAUACAUACAUAUAUAGUAAAGAAUCAGCAUGAAAAGCUGAAAGUAAACAAUAUAAACAUAAGGAUCAUUGACCCCAAAAAUAAACAAAAGGUUGUUAACUUGGCUAAAUGUAGAUAAAGGUUGUUGACUUAGCUAUGUAUUUUCAAAAAUUAAUUAAAAUGUAAACGAAAUGUAAAUUACCCUUGAAGUGUAAAAGAAAGUUGCACAUGUUCUGUUUUUAUCCAAGAAACCGAAACCGUCGAUAUCUGACCACUAUAGCAUACAGCUGCCAUACAAACUGAACGAUUGGAAUCAAUUGCUUGCACUUUUUCGUUUGACGAGUUAUGUCCAUCCAUUAUCACCAAAGAUAAUAAUGCAUUUGAUCGGUAUUAAAUUUUUGUAAGCAGCCUUUUGUAUAUGUGAAGGGUAUUAUAACUUCGGUGUAAAUAAAGUAAAAUUUUGUA